CGUGUACUCCCUCCGUCCGAAAUUACUUGUCAUUGAAAUGGAUGUAUCUAGAUGUAUUUUAGUUCUAGACACAUCCAUUUUGAUGACAAGUAAUUCCGGACAGAGGGAGUACUUG
rnacentral:pre_miRNA from 1 species